ACGGCAGCACGGAGCUUGCUCUGGUGGCGAGUGGCGAACGGGUGAGUAAUAUAUCGGAACGUACCCUGGAGUGGGGGAUAACGUAGCGAAAGUUACGCUAAUACCGCAUACGAUCUAAGGAUGAAAGUGGGGGAUCGCAAGACCUCAUGCUCGUGGAGCGGCCGAUAUCUGAUUAGCUAGUUGGUAGGGUAAAAGCCUACCAAGGCAUCGAUCAGUAGCUGGUCUGAGAGGACGACCAGCCACACUGGAACUGAGACACGGUCCAGACUCCUACGGGAGGCAGCAGUGGGGAAUUUUGGACAAUGGGCGAAAGCCUGAUCCAGCAAUGCCGCGUGAGUGAAGAAGGCCUUCGGGUUGUAAAGCUCUUUUGUCAGGGAAGAAACGGUGAGGGCUAAUAUCUCUUGCUAAUGACGGUACCUGAAGAAUAAGCACCGGCUAACUACGUGCCAGCAGCCGCG
rnacentral:rRNA from 1 species